AGCCCAUCCAGUCUUCUUCCUGAAAUUUUAGCAACUAAAAGCAUUCUGUUUACAAUAAGAAAACCGUUUCCCCCCCCACACCCUGAUUGGAAUGUCCCUGAAUAGGUUCAUGUUGACCCUCCCCAAAAUCAACCUGGAUGCCAUGCGACUCCCGCGGUUCUUUUGUCUUUAGGAAGUUUCUUUCCUUUUGCCUUUUAAAAGACACCUGUAAUUGCUAAUCGGGGCUCUUUUCCUCCUCGGAGGCGGAGAGCCCGUUUGCGCAAACGUUCAAUAAACCCUCUUGCUAAUUGCAUCUGCCUGUCUGGGGUCUGAGUCUCUGGGGCGUCCACCGGGCCACGUUGGCACCCGUGAGCCAGGGUCCAACAUUUGGGGGCUCGUCCGGGAUCUGAGACGCCCCAGACUCAAUCCUAAGACCGGUAGGAGGUGAAGGCCCUGGUCUUCCAGCCAGGACCCAAUGGACACCUCGAUCAGCCGACCCGGGAUGACCGCCAACAGCUCCUGCAGACUCUCCUCACCACGGAGGAGACACAGCGC